rnacentral:rRNA from 1 species
UACGUAGGGUGCGAGCGUUAAUCGGAAUUACUGGGCGUAAAGCGUGCGCAGGCGGUUUUGUAAGCCGGAUGUGAAAUCCCCGGGCUUAACCUGGGAAUGGCAUUCGGGACUGCAAGGCUGGAGUGCGGCAGAGGAGACUGGAAUUCCUGGUGUAGCAGUGAAAUGCGCAGAUAUCAGGAGGAACACCUAUGGCGAAGGCAGCUCGCUGGGACGGUACUGACGCUGAGGCGCGAAAGCGUGGGGAGCGAACAGG